GAGGGUAUAGCUCUAGUAGUAGAGCACUUGCUUAGCACACAUGAGGUCCUGGGUUCAGUCCCCAGUACAUCCU
rnacentral:tRNA from 1 species